rnacentral:rRNA from 1 species
ACACAUGCAGUCGACGAUGAUGAGUAGCUUGCUACUCUGAUUAGUGGCGCACGGGUGAGUAAUAUAUAGAUAACGUACCUCUUAGACUGGGAUAGCCAUUGGAAACGAUGAUUAAUACUAGAUACUCCUUCUAGCUCUAAUGCUAGUCGGGAAAGUUUUUUCGCUAAGAGAUCGGUCUAUAUCCUAUCAGUUAGUUGGUGAGGUAAUGGCUCACCAAGGCAAUGACAGGUAGCGGGUUUGAGAGGAUGAUCCGCCACACUGGUACUGAGACACGGACCAGACUCCUACGGGAGGCAGCAGUGAGGAAUAUUGCACAAUGGGGGAAACCCUGAUGCAGCAACGCCGCGUGGAGGAUGACGCAUUUCGGUGUGUAAACUCCUUUUAUAUGUCAAGAAAAUGACGGUAGCAUAUGAAUAAGCACCGGCUAACUCCGUGCCAGCAGCCGCGGUAAUACGGAGGGUGCAAGCGUUAUUCGGAAUCACUGGGCGUAAAGGACGCGUAGGCGGGUUUGUAAGUCAGGUGUGAAAUCCUACAGCUUAACUGUAGAACUGCACUUGAAACUACUGACCUAGAGUAUGGGAGGGGGAGAUGGAAUUAGUUGGGUGUAGGGGUAAAAUCCCGUAAAUUAUCACUAAGGAAUACCUAAAGCGAAGGCGAUCUCCUGGAACAUAACUGACGCUAGGCGUGAAAGCGUGGGAGCAAACAGAUUAGAUACCCUGUAGUCCACGCCCUAACGAUGACACUAGUCGUCGUGAUGCUAGUC